GAUGAACGCUGGCGGCGUGCCUAACACAUGCAAGUCGAACGGAGCUGCUUUGAUGAAGUUUUCGGAUGGAUUUAAAACAGCUUAGUGGCGGACGGGUGAGUAACGCGUGGGUAACCUGCCUCACACUGGGGGAUAACAGUUAGAAAUAGCUGCUAAUACCGCAUAAGCGCACGGUUCCGCAUGGAACAGUGUGAAAAACUCCGGUGGUAUAAGAUGGACCCGCGUCUGAUUAGCUGGUUGGUGAGGUAACGGCCCACCAAGGCGACGAUCAGUAGCCGACCUGAGAGGGUGACCAGCCACAUUGGGACUGAGAUACGGCCCAGACUCCUACGGGAGGCAGCAGUGGGGAAUAUUGGGCAAUGGGCGCAAGCCUGACCCAGCAACGCCGCGUGAAGGAAGAAGGCUUUCGGGUUGUAAACUUCUUUUGUCAGGGACGAGUAGAAGACGGUACCUGACGAAUAAGCCACGGCUAACUACGUG
rnacentral:rRNA from 1 species